rnacentral:rRNA from 1 species
AUUGCACGCUGGCGGCAGGCCUAACACAUGCACGUCGAACGCGUGGCAGACGGUUGAGUAAUGUCUGGGAAACUGCCCGAUGGAGGGGGAUAACUACUGGAAACGGUAGCUAAUACCGCAUACCAUCGGAUGUGCCCAUAUGGGAUUCGCUAGUAGGUGGGGUAAUGGCUCACCUAGGAGACGAUCCCUAGCUGGUCUGAGAGGAUGACCAGCCACACGGGAACUGUGACACGGUCCAGACUCCUAAGUGAGGCAGCAGUGGGGAAUAUUGCACAAUGGGCGCAAGCCUGAAGCAGCCAUGCGGCGUGUAUGAAGAAGGCCUUCGGGUUGUAAAGUACGUGCAGCGAGGAGGCGUUACUCGCAGAAGAAGCACCGGCUAACUCCGUGCCAGCAGCCGCGGUAAUUC